ensembl:lncRNA
AAAAAAAAAAAAAAAGCAGUGAUUACUCCCACCUGGUCAUGUGACAAUUCAUCCAAUAGCCAUUUGCAGCACACUUGGUGGAAGAGAAUCUGCCACUACCUGGUGUCAGGUGGGGGAGGUGGGGACAAACCAUUUUCCAAGAUCAAGCGAUUGUUCUCUUGAAGCCAAACUAAACUUUAGGCGAGGGACAAAAUUCAGAUUUAUUAAAUUUAGCUGAUAGUACCCUAAUCAAGGGAGGUGGAUUCUAGUAUUUAAUGGUCAGCAUCAGUGGGAACACCGGUCUACACAACAUGCUUUAGUCACUUUACCCUCAGUUGCUUUAAUUAUGCUACAUUUGGUCCUAAACAAGUUCCAGAUCAGCCUCAAUUAUCCCUCUGAGCCAAGAUGCAGGAGAAACACCUGAGAUGCUCCAGCAAGUUUUAAACUACAGCAGCCAGAUUUAUUGAAACAUUGCUUCAAGAUCCUUUAAAGAAAACCAGCUGUUUAAAGUCAGACUAAACCAGUUUAAAUCAUCAAUGGAGUUUAAGGACACAAACUCAAAUUCAUGGUUUACUUUAGGUUUAUUAAAGGUUACGUCGUAGUUUCUUGGAGGAGCUGGUGGAGGAACUGGAGGAGCUGGUGGAGGAGCUGGUGCUGGUGGUUCUGGGGGAUCUGGUGGUUCUGGAGGAUCUGGUGGUUCAGGAGGCUCUGGUUUCUUCAGCAGUUCUUUGCCCUUUGGAUCUGCAGGAUUUACUCCUUUGAUUAACUACCCACAGGGGUUCUCCUACGAUAUAAAUGACUUGAGACCAAGGUUUGUCCGUCUCCCAGACCCCUCAGUCUGGAUCCCUGAUAACAUUCCCACCGACCCCUUCCCAUUGGUUGUUCGUGGUCCUACGUCCUACAUCGUCCAGUCUAGUAACGGCUACCAGCGAGCCAGAGAACUCCUCUCCCACUCUAAAUACUCCCCAGAUGACUUUGGCCCGUUUUUCUCUCCGGUGAACCCAGGAGAUCCCAGCCAAGGACCUGGACCUGGAACCGGAACCAAGGUCUAAGGAGGUGGAACUGAUCAGCAGAACCUCCAAGAAACUACGACGUAACCUUUAAUAAACCUUAAGUAAACAUGAAUCUGAGUAUCUGUGCUUGACUUUAACGCCAUUGAUUUAAACUGGUUUAGUUUGACUUUAAACAGCUGGUUUUCUUAAACUAUCAAGCAGCCGUUCCAAUAAUUCUGGCUGCUGUAGUUUAAAGUCUCUCAGGUGUUUCUCCUGCAUCUUAUCAGCUCAGAGGUAAGAAAAUGGAGGAUGACCUGGAACAAAUGACACCGUGUCUGGGACCAAAUGCAGCUAUAGUGAAGAACCUGACAGUAAAGUGACUCUAAAGCGUCUUGUGUAGAUGAGUAGUUCUACUGAAUUUGUUCUGACCAUUAAACCCUAGACCUCUCCUUCCUUGGUUGGAGUUCUGUUCUCAGCUGAUCUAGUAAACUGGAAUUGUGACCAAAGUAAACCAUGAAUCUGAGUUUGUCUGACUUGAACUUUACUGAAGGUUUAAAUGAGUUUUAACUCUUUAAACGGUUGGUUUUCUUCAAUUCUCCUGAAGUUAUCUUUAACUGGCUGCUCCUGUAGUUUAACAUUGCCAUGAAGGUAUUUGAGCUACAAAUCAGGAGAACAAGGGUGAAAACUCUGCUUUUCUGGGACCAAAUAAAGCAGUUCGCUUAAAAGUGAUGUUUUUCUGUGUAGAUUAAUGGACUAAAGUGGUUUUUCC